rnacentral:rRNA from 1 species
UACAGAGACUGCAAGCGUUAUUCGGAUUCACUGGGCGUAAAGGGUGCGCAGGCGGCCAAGUGUGUGAGGCGUGAAAGCCCGGGGCUUAACCCCGGAAUUGCACCUCAAACUACAUGGCUAGAGCAUUGGAGAGGGUAGCAGAAUUCACGGUGUAGCAGUGAAAUGCGUAGAUAUCGUGAGGAAUACCAGAGGCGAAGGCGGCUACCUGGACAAUUGCUGACGCUCAGGCACGAAAGCGUGGGGAGCAAAAGGA